GGCCUUGACAUACUAAGAACUUUCCAGAGAUGGAUUGGUGCCUUCGGGAACUUAGAUACAGGUGCUGCAUGGCUGUCGUCAGCUCGUGUCGUGAGAUGUUGGGUUAAGUCCGCAACGAGCGCAACCUUUCCUUAUUUGCCAGCGGGUAAUGCCGGGAACUUUAAGGAUACUGCCAGUGACAAACUGGAGGAAGGCGGGGACGACGUCAAGUCAUCAUGGCCCUUACGGCCAGGGCUACACACGUGCUACAAUGGUCGGUACAAAGGGUUGCUACCUCGCGAGAGGAUGCUAAUCUCAAAAAGCCGAUCGUAGUCCGGAUCGCAGUCUGCAACUCGACUGCGUGAAGUCGGAAUCGCUAGUAAUCGCGGAUCAGAAUGCCGCGGUGAAUACGUUCCCGGGCCUUGUACACACCGCCCGUCACACCAUGGGAGUUUGUUGCACCAGAAGUAGGUAGUCUAACCGCAAGGAGGACGCUUACCACGGUGUGGCCGAUGACUGGGGUGAAGUCGUAACAAGGUAAGCGUAGAUGA
rnacentral:rRNA from 1 species